rnacentral:tRNA from 1 species
GGAGACGUAUCGAAGCGGUCAUAACGGGGCAGACUCGAAAUCUGUUAGCUCUUUUUAUCGGGCUCGUGGGUUCGAAUCCCACCGUCUCCGCCA